AAACCCAAUUUGGAGUUUCCUUCACUCCAAUUAAGAAAAGAUAUGACGGUAUGCCUCUGCUGCUCGUUCAUGGAUACCUAUGGUUUCGUAACAACAUGUGUUCGAAGUCAAGGGUUUGCAUGAACUAGGAGAUGAGUUACCUUGAUCUUUUGGCGUUGGAGUGAAGGGAGCUCCAAAUGGUAUCACA
rfam:Phaseolus vulgaris cultivar G19833 chromosome 10, whole genome shotgun sequence.